rnacentral:rRNA from 1 species
UACGAGAAAUCAAAGUUUUUGGGCUCGGGGGGGAGUAUGGUCGCAAGGCUGAAACUNAAAGAAAUUGACGGAAGGGCACCACCCAGGCGUGGAGCCUGCGGCUUAAUUUGACUCAACACGGGGAAACUCACCAGGUCCAGACAUGCUUAGGAUUGACAGAUUGAUAGCUCUUUCUUGAUUGUAUGGGUGGU